CAGAGGUUACUGCUAUCGAGAUUCGACUAAGCCAUGCGAGUUGAAUGUUCUUCGUGAACAUGGCGGACUGCUCAGUAACACGUGGACAACCUACCCUUGGGUCCGGCAUAAUCCUGGGAAACUGGGAAUAAUUCCGGAUAGGUCACCGAUGCUGGAAUGCGCGGUGGCCGAAAGCUCCGGCGCCCGAGGAUGGGUCUGCGGCCUAUCAGGGUUGUAGUGGGUGUAACGUACCUACUAGCCUACGACGGGUACGGGUUGUGAGAGCAAGAGCCCGGAGAUGGAUUCUGAGACACGAAUCCAGGCCCUACGGGGUGCAGCAGGCGCGAAAACUUUACAAUGCGGGAAACCGUGAUAAGGGGAUCUCGAGUGCCAGCAUAUAAUGUUGGCUGUCCAGAUGCCUAAAAAGCAUCUGUUAGCAAGGGCCGGGCAAGACCGGUGCCAGCCGCCGCGGUAACACCGGCGGCCCGAGUGGUAACCGCUAUUAUUGGGUCUAAAGGGUCUGUAGCCGGCCAGGUAAGUCCCUUGGGAAAUCUGGCAGCUCAACUGUCAGGCUGCUAGGGGAUACUGUUUGGCUUGGGACCGGGAGAGGUGAGAGGUACCUUGGGGGUAGGGGUGAAAUCUUGUGAUCCUCGAGGGACCACCAGUGGCGAAGGCGUCUCACCAGAACGGGUCCGACGGUAAGGGACGAAAGCUAGGGGCACGAACCGGAUUAGAUACCCGGGUAGUCCUAGCCGUAAACGAUGCUCGCUAGGUGUCAGUCACGGUGCGACCGUGAUUGGUGCCGUAGGGAAGCCGUGAAGCGAGCCACCUGGGAAGUAUGGCCGCAAGGCUGAAMYUAAAGGAAUUGGCGGGGGAGCACUACAYGCSGUGGAGCCUGCGGUUUAUUG
rnacentral:rRNA from 1 species